UACGGAGGGUGCAAGCGUUAUCCGGAUUUACUGGGUUUAAAGGGUGCGUAGGUGGGUAGGUAAGUCAGUGGUGAAAUCUUCGAGCUUAACUCGGAAACUGCCAUUGAUACUAUUUAUCUUGAAUACUCUGGAGGUAAGCGGAAUAUGCCAUGUAGCGGUGAAAUGCUUAGAUAUGACAUAGAACACCAAUUGCGAAGGCAGCUUACUACAUAGUUAUUGACACUGAGGCACGAAAGCGUGGGGAUCAAACAGG
rnacentral:rRNA from 1 species